UGCCAGCCGCCGCGGUAAUACGGAGGGUGCGAGCGUUAAUCGGAAUUACUGGGCGUAAAGCGCGCGUAGGUGGAUGAUUAAGUCAGAUGUGAAAGCCCCGGGCUCAACCUGGGAACUGCAUUUGAUACUGGUCAUCUAGAGUAUAGUAGAGGGUAGUGGAAUUCCCGGUGUAGCAGUGAAAUGCGUAGAUAUCGGGAGGAACAUCAGUGGCGAAGGCGACUGCCUGGACUCAUACUGACACUGAGGUGCGAAAGCGUGGGUAGCGAACAGGAUUAGAUA
rnacentral:rRNA from 1 species